rnacentral:rRNA from 1 species
UACGUAGGGGGCAAGCGUUGUCCGGAUUUAUUGGGCGUAAAGAGCGUGUAGGCGGUUAGAUAGGUCCGUUGUGAAAACUCGAGGCUCAACCUCGAGACGUCGAUGGAAACCAUCUGGCUAGAGUCCGGAAGAGGAGAGUGGAAUUCCUGGUGUAGCGGUGAAAUGCGCAGAUAUCGGGAGGAACACCUAUGGCGAAGGCAGCUCGCUGGGACGUUACUGACGCUGAGACGCGAAAUCGUGGGGAGCAAACAGG